AGCAGUAGCCGCGGUAAUACGAAGGGGGCAAGCGUUACUCGGAAUGACUGGGCGUAAAGCGUGCGUAGGUGGUGGUUUAAGUCAGGUGUGAAAGCCCUGGGCUCAACCUGGGAAUUGCAGUGGAUACUGGGUCACUAGAGUGUGGUAGAGGAUAGUGGAAUUUCCGGUGUAGCAGUGAAAUGCGUAGAGAUCGGAAGGAACAUCUGUGGCGAAGGCGACUAUCUGGGCCAACACUGACACUGAGGCACGAAAGCGUGGGGAGCAAACAGGAUUAGAUACCCCGGUAGUCCCUGUCUCUUAUAA
rnacentral:rRNA from 1 species